CCUACGGGAGGCAGCAGUAGGGAAUCUUCCACAAUGGGCGAAAGCCUGAUGCAGCAACGCCGCGUGGGUGAAGAAGGUCUUCGGAUCGUAAAACCCUGUUGUUAGAGAAGAAAGUGCGUGAGAGUAACUGUUCACGUUCCGACGGUAUCUUACCAGCAACCGCCGGCUAACUACGUGCCAGCAGCCGCGGUAAUACGUAGGUGGCAAGAGUUAUCCGGAUUGUGGGGGCGUAAAGGGAACGCAGGCGGGCUGUUAAGUCUGAUGUGAAAGCCUACGGCUUAACCGGAGUAGUGCAUUUGAAACUGGUAGACUUGAGUGCAGGAGAGGAGAGUGGAACUCCAGGUGUAGGGGUGAAAUGCGUAGAUAUAAGGAAGAAUACUCGUGGCGAAGGCGACUUUCUGGACCGUAACUGACGCUGAGGUUCGAAAGCGUGGGUAGCAAACAGGAUUAGAUACCCGAGUAGUC
rnacentral:rRNA from 1 species